GAUGAAGAACGCAGCAAAAUGCGAUAAGUAAUGUGAAUUGCAGAAUUCAGUGAAUCAUCGAAUCUUUGAACGCACAUUGCGCCCGCCAGUAUUCUGGCGGGCAUGCUUGUUCGAGCGUCAUUUCAACCCUCAAGCACAGCUUGGUGUUGGGACUCGCGUUAAUUCGCGUUCCUCAAAUUGAUUGGCGGUCACGUCGAGCUUCCAUAGCGUAGUAGUAAAACCCUCGUUACUGGUAAUCGUCGCGGCCACGCCGUUAAACCCCAACUCCUGAAUGUUGACCUCGGAUCAGGUAGGAAUACCCGCUGAACUUAAGCAUAUCAAUAAGCGGAGGA
rnacentral:misc_RNA from 1 species